UACGAAGGGAGCUAGCGUUGCUCGGAAUCACUGGGCGUAAAGGGUGCGUAGGCGGGUUUUUAAGUCAGGGGUGAAAUCCUGGAGCUCAACUCCAGAACUGCCUUUGAUACUGAAGAUCUUGAGUCCGGGAGAGGUGAGUGGAACUGCGAGUGUAGAGGUGAAAUUCGUAGAUAUUCGCAAGAACACCAGUGGCGAAGGCGGCUCACUGGCCCGGUACUGACGCUGAGGUGCGAAAGCGUGGGGAGCAAACAGG
rnacentral:rRNA from 1 species